ensembl:ncRNA Y66D12A.26 ncRNA
CCCCCCCCCCCUCUCUCAACUAUCGGACUGCUAAAUCAGGCGACGCUGCUGCAGGUAGAUGACCGUCAGGGAAGCUGAAAUGACCUUUACUUUUGACAUUGCAUCUUCCUUUACUGGUUACCUUGA